GAAGUAUUAGUAAAACAAUUACAUAACCUUGUCAAGG
rnacentral:tRNA from 1 species